rnacentral:rRNA from 1 species
GGUUAAGCGACUAAGCGUACACGGUGGAUGCCCUGGCAGUCAGAGGCGAUGAAGGACGUGCUAAUCUGCGAUAAGCGUCGGUAAGGUGAUAUGAACCGUUAUAACCGGCGAUUUCCGAAUGGGGAAACCCAGUGUGUUUCGACACACUAUCAUUAACUGAAUCCAUAGGUUAAUGAGGCGAACCGGGGGAACUGAAACAUCUAAGUACCCCGAGGAAAAGAAAUCAACCGAGAUUCCCCCAGUAGCGGCGAGCGAACGGGGAGCAGCCCAGAGCCUGAAUCAGUAUGUGUGUUAGUGGAAGCGUCUGGAAAGGCGCGCGAUACAGGGUGACAGCCCCGUACACAAGAAUGCACAUGCUGUGAGCUCGAUGAGUAGGGCGGGACACGUGGUAUCCUGUCUGAAUAUGGGGGGACCAUCCUCCAAGGCUAAAUACUCCUGACUGACCGAUAGUGAACCAGUACCGUGAGGGAAAGGCGAAAAGAACCCCGGCGAGGGGAGUGAAAAAGAACCUGAAACCGUGUACGUACAAGCAGUGGGAGCACGCUUAGGCGUGUGACUGCGUACCUUUUGUAUAAUGGGUCAGCGACUUAUAUUCUGUAGCAAGGUUAACCGAAUAGGGGAGCCGAAGGGAAACCGAGUCUUAACUGGGCGUUAAGUUGCAGGGUAUAGACCCGAAACCCGGUGAUCUAGCCAUGGGCAGGUUGAAGGUUGGGUAACACUAACUGGAGGACCGAACCGACUAAUGUUGAAAAAUUAGCGGAUGACUUGUGGCUGGGGGUGAAAGGCCAAUCAAACCGGGAGAUAGCUGGUUCUCCCCGAAAGCUAUUUAGGUAGCGCCUCGUGAAUUCAUCUCCGGGGGUAGAGCACUGUUUCGGCAAGGGGGUCAUCCCGACUUACCAACCCGAUGCAAACUGCGAAUACCGGAGAAUGUUAUCACGGGAGACACACGGCGGGUGCUAACGUCCGUCGUGAAGAGGGAAACAACCCAGACCGCCAGCUAAGGUCCCAAAGUCAUGGUUAAGUGGGAAACGAUGUGGGAAGGCCCAGACAGCCAGGAUGUUGGCUUAGAAGCAGCCAUCAUUUAAAGAAAGCGUAAUAGCUCACUGGUCGAGUCGGCCUGCGCGGAAGAUGUAACGGGGCUAAACCAUGCACCGAAGCUGCGGCAGCGACGCUGAUGCGUUGUUGGGUAGGGGAGCGUUCUGUAAGCCUGCGAAGGUGUGCUGUGAGGCAUGCUGGAGGUAUCAGAAGUGCGAAUGCUGACAUAAGUAACGAUAAAGCGGGUGAAAAGCCCGCUCGCCGGAAGACCAAGGGUUCCUGUCCAACGUUAAUCGGGGCAGGGUGAGUCGACCCCUAAGGCGAGGCCGAAAGGCGUAGUCGAUGGGAAACAGGUUAAUAUUCCUGUACUUGGUGUUAUUGCGAAGGGGGGACGGAGAAGGCUAUGUUGGCCGGGCGACGGUUGUCCCGGUUUAAGCGUGUAGGCUGGUUUUCCAGGCAAAUCCGGAAAAUCAAGGCUGAGGCGUGAUGACGAGGCACUACGGUGCUGAAGCAACAAAUGCCCUGCUUCCAGGAAAAGCCUCUAAGCAUCAGGUAACAUCAAAUCGUACCCCAAACCGACACAGGUGGUCAGGUAGAGAAUACCAAGGCGCUUGAGAGAACUCGGGUGAAGGAACUAGGCAAAAUGGUGCCGUAACUUCGGGAGAAGGCACGCUGAUAUGUAGGUGAGGUCCCUCGCGGAUGGAGCUGAAAUCAGUCGAAGAUACCAGCUGGCUGCAACUGUUUAUUAAAAACACAGCACUGUGCAAACACGAAAGUGGACGUAUACGGUGUGACGCCUGCCCGGUGCCGGAAGGUUAAUUGAUGGGGUUAGCGCAAGCGAAGCUCUUGAUCGAAGCCCCGGUAAACGGCGGCCGUAACUAUAACGGUCCUAAGGUAGCGAAAUUCCUUGUCGGGUAAGUUCCGACCUGCACGAAUGGCGUAAUGAUGGCCAGGCUGUCUCCACCCGAGACUCAGUGAAAUUGAACUCGCUGUGAAGAUGCAGUGUACCCGCGGCAAGACGGAAAGACCCCGUGAACCUUUACUAUAGCUUGACACUGAACAUUGAGCCUUGAUGUGUAGGAUAGGUGGGAGGCUUAGAAGUGUGGACGCCAGUCUGCAUGGAGCCGACCUUGAAAUACCACCCUUUAAUGUUUGAUGUUCUAACGUUGACCCGUAAUCCGGGUUGCGGACAGUGUCUGGUGGGUAGUUUGACUGGGGCGGUCUCCUCCUAAAGAGUAACGGAGGAGCACGAAGGUUGGCUAAUCCUGGUCGGACAUCAGGAGGUUAGUGCAAUGGCAUAAGCCAGCUUGACUGCGAGCGUGACGGCGCGAGCAGGUGCGAAAGCAGGUCAUAGUGAUCCGGUGGUUCUGAAUGGAAGGGCCAUCGCUCAACGGAUAAAAGGUACUCCGGGGAUAACAGGCUGAUACCGCCCAAGAGUUCAUAUCGACGGCGGUGUUUGGCACCUCGAUGUCGGCUCAUCACAUCCUGGGGCUGAAGUAGGUCCCAAGGGUAUGGCUGUUCGCCAUUUAAAGUGGUACGCGAGCUGGGUUUAGAACGUCGUGAGACAGUUCGGUCCCUAUCUGCCGUGGGCGCUGGAGAACUGAGGGGGGCUGCUCCUAGUACGAGAGGACCGGAGUGGACGCAUCACUGGUGUUCGGGUUGUCAUGCCAAUGGCACUGCCCGGUAGCUAAAUGCGGAAGAGAUAAGUGCUGAAAGCAUCUAAGCACGAAACUUGCCCCGAGAUGAGUUCUCCCUGACCCUUUAAGGGUCCUGAAGGAACGUUGAAGACGACGACGUUGAUAGGCCGGGUGUGUAAGCGCAGCGAUGCGUUGAGCUAACCGGUACUAAUGAACCGUGAGGCUUAACCUU